AAAGAAAUAAACAUAUAAAGCUUCUAACUUUAAACAGAGCACUAACCUGUUCAUAUUUCUA
rnacentral:tRNA from 1 species